rnacentral:tRNA from 1 species
GGAUUGUGGCUCUGUGGUAGAAUACUUGCCUAGCAUGCUUGAGGCACUGAGUUCAAUCCUCAGCACCA